AUUGAACGCUGGCGGCAGGCCUAACACAUGCAAGUCGAACGGUAACAGGAAGAAGCUUGCUUCUUUGCUGACGAGUGGCGGACGGGUGAGUAAUGUCUGGGAAACUGCCUGAUGGAGGGGGAUAACUACUGGAAACGGUAGCUAAUACCGCAUAACGUCGCAAGACCAAAGAGGGGGACCUUCGGGCCUCUUGCCAUCGGAUGUGCCCAGAUGGGAUUAGCUAGUAGGUGGGGUAACGGCUCACCUAGGCGACGGUCCCUAGCUGGUCUGAGAGGAUGACCAGCCACACUGGAACUGAGGCACGGUCCAGACUCCUACGGGAGGCAGCAGUGGGGAAUAUUGCACAAUGGGCGCAAGCAUGAUGCAGCCAUGCCGCGUGUAUGAAGAAGGCCUUCGGGUUGUAAAGUACUUUCAGCGGGGAGGAAGGGAGUAAAGUUAAUACCUUUGCUCAUUGACGUUACCCGCAGAAGAAGCGCCGGCUAACUCCGUG
rnacentral:rRNA from 1 species